UUUUUUUUUUUUUUUUUGAGACGGAGUCUCGCUCUGCCGCCAGGCUGGAGUGCAGUGGCCGGAUCUCAGCUCACUGCAAGCUCCGCCUCCUGGGUUCACAUCAUUCUCCUGCCUCAGCCUCCAGAGCAGCUGGGACCACAGGCGCCGCCACCUCGCCCGGCUAGUUUUUUGUAUUUUUAGUAGAGACGGGGUUUCACCGUGUUAGCCAGGAUGGUCUCGAUCUCCUGACCUCGUGAUCCGCCCAUCUCGGCCUCCCGAAGUGCUGGGAUUACAGGCUUGAGCCACCGCGCCCGGCCGCAAGGGGAUAUUUUUAAAAGUCCCCACAUGGAUGACAAUCAGGUCACAUACAUUCUGGGAAUGGAGACUCCAUGGAAGGAGCAGGGUCUUGCAGCAAGGAGGGUUUAGAUAGAGGGAGGGAGGGAGGAGGGCCAGUCCAGGCCCUAGGGAUAGAAGAAGCCACGGCAAGGUAACGGGCAGCUUGGUUUUCCAAUUACGCAGCCAAACCUAAAAAAAAAAAAAGACGUCACUUUUGAUAUCUGCUCCACACGGGAACGUGAACUUUUUCCUCCGGCUGGGUUACGGGCCCCAGAGCCCGAGAAGCCAGCCUCGGAUGCAUGUGGCUCCAGUUAUGUUUUAGAUCAGCCACAAAUAGCCCUUGCUUUGUACAGGGCCGUGACCCCGCCGAGCCAUCAUCAUCACUGGAAUGCCUCAGAGGCCAAGGGAAACACAUGGAGCCGCCAGAGCCGUUGCAAAAUCGAUCCAAAAUCCAGCGAGCGGGGGAGGAGCGCCUGACUCAGCCAUGGUAAGCUCGCCUGCCAAAGUCUUCUGGUACCUGGACCACGCUGGAAGACGCUUCUGGAUCCCAUUCUUUCUGCGAACCUUCCCCACCGAAAGCCAUUUUCCUUACCCCCACUAGAAAACAGAAAAGUGUACCCAGGAGGUACCCACCAGGGGGUGAUAAGAAAAGCCACACAUCUUGUUUCUAGGCUAUCAAGAGCAGGGCGGAAGCAGCAUCAGACGACAAAAAAAAAAAAAAAAAAAGCGCUGGGUGUGGAGUCCAAAGAUUUAUGCCCUGCCUUGGCCAUUGACUUACUGUAUGAACCUGGCCUGGUGCCCAAGCCAUUCCAGCAUCUGCUUCUUUAUCUUUGAAGUGAGAAUACUAAUACUGCCUACGUCACAAGGCUGUUGUGAGGCUCAAAUGAUGGAUGAGAAAAUUCACUGUCAAUUUUAAAGCAUUAUACACAUUUCAGUGGUUAUUUUUUUUUUUUAGAUGGAAUUUCACUCUUGUUGCCCAGGCUGAAGUGCAGUGGCGUGAUCUCGGCUCACGGUAGCCUCUGCCUCCCGGGUUCAAGCGAUUCUCCUGCCUCAGCCUCCCGAGUAGCUGGGAUUACAAGUGUGCGCCACCACGCCUGGCUAAUUUUGUAUUUUUAGUAAGAUGGGGUUUCUCCAUGUUGGUCAGGCUGGUCUUGAACUCCCAUCAGUGGUCAUAUUUUUCAUCAGGGAAGGCAUAUCCAUGGGUUUUUCCAUGUGCAUGGGCAAAUGAGGGGCAGAGAUUAUUCUAGUUUUAAUGAAGACGUUCAAGAAGGCAAUGGCUUUGUGCUGGUUCUCAGUGGAGUAGUCUACAAAAGCAUACCAACAAGGAAAUUUCAUCUCAGCAAAGUUCUCUGUUUAGGGCAUGGCUGUCAAUCUGGAAACGGCAAAGCCACUACUGACGGUA
rnacentral:lncRNA from 1 species